UACGUAGGGGGCAAGCGUUGUCCGGAAUCAUUGGGCGUAAAGCGCGCGUAGGCGGCCCGGUAAGUCCGUUGUGAAAGUCGAAGGCUCAACCUUCGAAAGCCGAUGGAUACUGCCGGGCUAGAGUACGGAAGAGGCGAGUGGAAUUCCUGGUGUAGCGGUGGAAUGCGCAGAUAUCAGGAGGAACACCAAUGGCGAAGGCAGCUCGCUGGGACGUUACUGACGCUGAGGCGCGAAAGCGUGGGGAGCGAACAGG
rnacentral:rRNA from 1 species